rnacentral:tRNA from 1 species
UAGGAAGUAGUGUAGCGGAAGCACCAGGAGUUUUGAUCUCUUGAGGAUGGGUUCGAUUCCCUUUUUCCUAA